GAUGAACGCUGACGGCGUGCCUAAUACAUGCAAGUCGAGCGAACGGACGAGAAGCUUGCUUCUCUGAUGUUAGCGGCGGACGGGUGAGUAACACGUGGAUAACCUACCUAUAAGACUGGGAUAACUUCGGGAAACCGGAGCUAAUACCGGAUAAUAUUUUGAACCGCAUGGUUCAAAAGUGAAAGACGGUCUUGCUGUCACUUAUAGAUGGAUCCGCGCUGCAUUAGCUAGUUGGUAAGGUAACGGCUUACCAAGGCAACGAUGCAUAGCCGACCUGAGAGGGUGAUCGGCUACACUGGAACUGAGACACGGUCCAGACUCCUACGGGAGGCAGCAGUAGGGAAUCUUCCGCAAUGGGCGAAAGCCUGACGGAGCAACGCCGCGUGAGUGAUGAAGGUCUUCGGAUCGUAAAACUCUGUUAUUAGGGAAGAACAUAUGUGUAAGUAACUGUGCACAUCUUGACGGUACCUAAUCAGAAAGCCACGGCUAACUACGUG
rnacentral:rRNA from 1 species